AUGCAGUGUUGUGAGUCUAAUUGCUCCGGGGGCAGCAGGCUCUUUAGGCCUCCUGACCUAGAUCCACCGCAUGGAAAUUGCUCACCCACCACCAUCUCUGCUAUACCACCGGGCUUGUUCAAGUACCUACCUACUCAAGUGAAGAAUCUGCUUCCAGAAUUCUAUCAGACUCUUAUCUUUCUAGGUCAUGGUUUUGACUUGGUUUCCAUUUCAAUGAUGCUUCAGGAUUUACUGCAACCUGCGUCUCCUUCUGGAGAUAGGCGCCUCUUGAAAGGACUUCCUGCAUGAUGCUCACCAUGAAUGCGAAUUCCUCUUCUGUCCUCUUAUUGUGAUGAGGGGGUUGAAGGGCACAUUUAAUGAGAAAGAACCUGUGCUAUCACAGCAGAGAAAAGGGCCCAUCAAACACAUGACGCUAGAUCUGAUGGGACUAGAUCACAGCCCUCUACUGGAGCCUCUUUCUACUUGAACCCUUGGAACAGGUCUCUGUUCCUUUAAGAGCCUCCAGUGAGAAUUCAAUAAUUGUCUCUGUGGAAAGUACGAGUUCCCCCUAGUGCAGCAUGAUAAAUCUUGGAUAAUAAUAGCUCUUUCCAAAAUAAUCCUUAGACAGAAGCAAAAUCCAACUGAGAAGGUUGUUCAGAGUCAAAACGUGGGACCUGGAUCUGUCUUUUAUUUAGCUCUAUAAAUACAUUGAGUGUUUCUUUUGUCACUGCUGUUGACAUAAUGUAUUAUUAUUACUAUUCCGCUAUUAUUCCCUUAAAUGCCUAUAUUUGUGUGUGUGUGUGUGUGUGUGUGUGUGUGUGUGUGUUUCUGUUUUUCUAUUUCAGGUCUUCGUUCAAUAGGCCAACUGUCCACAUUUACCCUUAGUCCUCUGCUGGCCAGAUUGUAGUUCUAAGCCUCUCCACUUUUACUACCAAGAGUCAAUACCAAAUUUGGGGAGAUUUCUAGAAACAUUAUCCAAAGGAGGGGUGGAGCAGACCCAGGUUUCAAAAUUGCCCUGAUUUUCACUCCAUGAUGGUGGGAAUUAUUAGGGACAGGUGUCUGAUUAUUUUCAGACAUAAUCUCCAUAUUUGUUAUCUUUUCACAGUAUAGAACAAAUUGAACUUCUUGUGUCUAUACACAGAAACCCUCAGAAUGACCUCCAGCUCUGUUCUGACUAUAACUCAUUGUGAUGGUUCAUUUUAUGUGUCAGUCUGACUGGGCUAAAGGAUAGGUACCUGGUGAACGUUAUUUCUGGGUAUGUCUGUGAGGGUCUCUGGAAGAGAUUACCAUUUGAAUCAGUAGACUUAGUAAAGAUCUCCCUCACCAAUGGAGGUGGGCAUCAUCUAAUCCCUUGAGGGCUCAAACAGAACAAAAAAAGGCAGAGGAGGAGCACAUUUUCCCUCCUCUUGGGCCAGGGUGACCAUCUUCUCCUGCCCUCAGACAUCAGAAGUUCUCAAGCCUUUGGACUUGGAGACUUGACACUGUGGCCUUUCAGCUCUCAGGCUGAAGCCUCAGACUGAAUCAUAUGAUCAACUCUCUUGGUCUACAGCUUGCAGAAGGCAGACUGUGGGACUUCUUGGCCUCAGUAACCACAUGAGCCAAUCUCUAUAAUAAAUCUCCUCCAGUGUAUAUCUACA
rnacentral:lncRNA from 12 species